rnacentral:lncRNA from 1 species
AAGUUACAUUUGAAAAGAUAGAAGAAUUUCAAUUUUAUUUCUAAAGUUGCAUUGAAGAGAUUGAAUCAUUUCAGCUCCGUGUGAAUACACUUUACAAAUUUGUGUGCAAUGCGAACAUACUUUCAAUGGUGGCCUCAAAUUUGAGUAUAUAUGAAAGAAGAAUGCCUCCUAAAGGCGUGUUAAAUUGGGCUUCUCUCCAAAAGCUAGCACGGUUUUGACACAGUGUGACAAUGUACCCAUAUAAUUGGCAAAAAAAAAAACCCUAGUUAUAGAUAUUAUCACCAAAUAGUCAAUAAAUGUAUAUCAUAUACACAUUCAAAAAGUAUAUCAAAAAUUUAUUUUUCUUCUGUGUAUAUCAUAAUAUAUAAAAAAUUAUUUUCAUUCUUUGAAUAUAUCUAAAUGUAUAACACAAAAGGAAUUAUAUUAUUUUGUAUAUCACCAUAUAUAAUAUACCAAAAAUAAUGUGUAAACUAAAAUGUAUAUCACACCUUUAUUUUUCUUCUUUGUGUAUAACAAACUAUAUAUCAAAAUUUUAUUUUUAUUUUUCGUAUAUCAAAAUGUAGAUCAAAAAAUCUUUUUUCUUCUUUGUACAUCUCAUUGUUAUAACACAUAAUUUCUUGUAGAUAUAGACAAAUAUUUAUGCAAAAAUUUGAUUACCUUCUUUGUAUGCCAAUUUCUCAUUCUUUAUGGUCUUCAAAAAGUAGCACCCACUUAACACCAAGAUACAUAGUGAUAUAGCGCCCUUGCCAUCCUUCCCUUGGCAGAAACAUAUAAAUCUACUCCAGAGGUGGCCUUGAGGAACAUAAAAAAUAUUUUUUUGACUUGAAAUAAUAAGUUCAUGAUUUGAAAUAGUCUCAACUAAUUUUCUGUGUAAUUUUCAUAUUUUUAUUAUGAUAGAAUAUUUCAUAAUGAUUCCCAAGGAUCGUAGUCUAAUAAUGAAAAACAAAAAUAUUUCAUACGGGGGAUGAAUUCAUCUGUUUGUACUUGUUGAUUCUCUUUUGUGUCGAGUCUUUCCUGAACAAGAACGAUAAGAGUGAAGAGAGAGAAAAGAGAUAGGUGAGUAUGGGAGGCAGUGAAGGCUAUCAAGUGGCAUUUUCGGCAAUUGUGGUGGAAUUAGGAGGAGAAAGGAAUAUGGAGACCACAAAGAGAGGUAAAGAAGGAUAACAUGAAGAGAAUAAAUAGGGAAGUAGGUUUUUU